rnacentral:rRNA from 1 species
AUUGAACGCUGGCGGCAGGCUUAACACAUGCAAGUCGAGCGGGGAAGGGUAGCUUGCUACCUAACCUAGCGGCGGACGGGUGAGUAAUGCUUAGGAAUCUGCCUAUUAGUGGGGAACAACAUUCCGAAAGGAAUGCUAAUACCGCAUACGCCCUACGGGGGAAAGCAGGGGAUCUUCGGACCUUGCGCUAAUAGAUGAGCCUAAGUCAGAUUAGCUAGUUGGUGGGGUAAAGGCCUACCAAGGCGACGAUCUGUAGCGGGUCUGAGAGGAUGAUCCGCCACACUGGGACUGAGACACGGCCCAGACUCCUACGGGAGGCAGCAGUGGGGAAUAUUGGACAAGGGGCGAAAGCCUGAUCCAGCCAUGCCGCGUGUGUGAAGAAGGCCCUUUGGUUGUAAAGCACUUUAAGCGAGGAGGAGGCUACUUGGAUUAAUACUCUAGGAUAGUGGACGUUACUCGCAGAAUAAGCACCGGCUAACUCUGUGCCAGCCGCCGCCGUAA